UUUUAUUAUUUUGAACAGUAACAGUUUAAUGAGCAUUUGAUAUACAUAAUGCACAUCCCUUGAGUUAGAAACCGCAAUAUGCCACAGAGCUAAGAUUAUCCCCAAGCAACCACUCCUAACUUGGGCACAAUGCCAUUUGCCUCUGAGAGCCAAGAUGUAUUUGUAUAUACACAGUAUAAAGCCAAGCAAUUUGUCUCCACCUAAGAUCCUGAGGCAAUAGGUUUUCAAUAUUUUCAAGCCACCAUACCAGCACAUAUAAUUACUGUCAGAAUUAGAGAUGAAAUUUGGAUUUUUAACUAGUGGGAACUUUCACUUUCUAGAACCAAUUGCUUUAUAUACAGGUGUCAAAACAGCCAUUGCAUCUGCUGUGGUUUCUCAUUUAUUUGGGCAAUUCAUACCAUGAUUCUGCUUUUAGAAGAGAAAAAAAAAAUAGAAAUUGAAGAGGCAGGCUUUCUGAGCACUUUGGAAAUUGACCAAUAAUUUAAAUAAACUAAAAUAAAACUGUGGCUGGCCAGGAAUUGUCAAGGCAAUUGGACAGGCCAGAAUAGCCAAAUUAGAAACACCCUUAAACAAAUGUGGCCCUCCUCCCUACACCCCUCAAAGAUUACUACUAUCUAUACAAAUCCUGGUGUAAAACACUUCAAGCCAAAAUAUCUGAUGCUUUCAGAUUUUAUUUUAGCUUAAAAUUUGUUUCAGCAGUUCAGACAUUGGUGAAAUACUUUGAGAUACUAAAACGAAUGCAUUAGAGAGUUCUAUUACCCUAUGUUAGCCUAUCAUCGGAAUUUGGACAGAAGUUCACUUGCACAAAAGCCAAACUAGCCGAAGGGCCUUCUAAAGAUAGUCAACCUGAUCUCUUGGGAACAGGUGUGCACACUGCAUUAAGAGCUCUGUACACAGGUCCUGCAAAAUAAGUAAAGUUACCCAUAGGUUGGUCUUUUUCAUUUGUAUUUUCACGACACUUUCAAUUAAAACAUUUAGGGUUAAUGUUUUAAGAGGUUUUAAUAUCACUUAGGGUGGAACUGAUCCCUAACCAGGUUUUAUGUACAAUUAACCAUACAGUUCCUAAAUCUUGGUGCUAUAGAGUACCACUGUUACAUACAUUGCAGGACUUCGUUGAAUAACCCUCUUAAACCAGGGAUCUGAAGAUAUCAGGUAAGAAACUUUAUAACAUCUAAGCACCUAAGAGUACUAUUUGUCACACCUCAAAAAUUCACAAAACAAAGACUCAAUUAAAAUGCAUUAUACCAUAACUACUAAAAGAAUUCAAUUCUGUAAUGUACAGAGUACCCCUUUAAAUACUGCAAUGCGGCAGAUUUUUUUAUUUUUAGAGCAUAUGCUGAGUCACUCAAAGGCAUGCUUUUAAACCCCAGGGAAAAUUUCCAAGUCACUUUGGGAAUAAGGUAUAUCCUCACUCGUCACUAGAUAUCUGUGGAGGCUCCAGUGGUCUCCUUUAUAGACAGUGUUGUACUCUUGCACAUGUGAGUACAGCAAUGAUGUAGGAUCCUGGUGACUGAACACCAGGAGCUGAAGAUUAAAGAUGACAUUGCCCACAAGGGACAGCAUCAAGUACAACACCUCUG
rnacentral:lncRNA from 1 species